UACGAAGGGGGCUAGCGUUGCUCGGAAUCACUGGGCGUAAAGCGCACGUAGGCGGAUUGCUAAGUCAGGGGGUGAAAUCCUGGAGCUCAACUCCAGAACUGCCUUUGAUACUGGCGACCUUGAGUCCGGGAGAGGUGAGUGGAACUGCGAGUGUAGAGGUGAAAUUCGUAGAUAUUCGCAAGAACACCAGUGGCGAAGGCGGCUCACUGGCCCGGUACUGACGCUGAGGUGCGAAAAGCGUGGGGAGCAAACAGG
rnacentral:rRNA from 1 species